rnacentral:rRNA from 1 species
CCUACGGGUGGCAGCAGUGGGGAAUAUUGGGCAAUGGGCGCAAGCCUGACCCAGCAACGCCGCGUGAAGGAAGAAGGCUUUCGGGUUGUAAACUUCUUUUCUCAGGGACGAAGCAAGUGACGGUACCUGAGGAAUAAGCCACGGCUAACUACGUGCCAGCAGCCGCGGUAAUACGUAGGUGGCAAGCGUUAUCCGGAUUUAUUGGGUUUAAAGGGUGCGCAGGCGGAAGCGGCAAGUCAGCGGUAAAAUUGCGGGGCUCAACCUCGCCGAGCCGUUGAAACUGCUCUUCUAGAGUGGGCGAGAAGUAUGCGGAAUGCGUGGUGUAGCGGUGAAAUGCAUAGAUAUCACGCAGAACUCCGAUUGCGAAGGCAGCAUACCGGCGCCCAACUGACGCUCAUGCACGAAAGCGUGGGUAUCGAACAGGAUUAGAUACCCUGGUAGUC